UACGGGGGGAGCAAGCGUUGUUCGGAUUUACUGGGCGUAAAGGGCGCGUAGGCGGCCACCGCAAGUCGACUGUGAAAUCUCCGGGCUUAACCCGGAAAGGUCAGCCGAUACUGCGGGGCUAGGGUGCAGAAGGGGCAACUGGAAUUCUCGGUGCAGCGGUGAAAUGCGUAGAUAUCGAGAGGAACACCUGCGGCGAAGGCGGGUUGCUGGGCUGACACUGACGCUGAGGCGCGAAAGCUAGGGGAGCGAACGGG
rnacentral:rRNA from 1 species